rnacentral:misc_RNA from 1 species
UAAGCCUAGCUUAGUAUUGGGAAUCUACUGAAGGAGCUACCUCGUAGCCACCCUGUAGUUCCUUAAAGACAACGGCGGAGAGUGGUGUCCCCUGAGCUUAGUAAUUUUUUCUAGCUUCUGGAGCGCUGCGGUUCUUGCCGUAAAACCCCCAAUUUUUAAUGGUUGACCUCGGAUCAGGUAGGAAUACCCGCUGAACUUAA